GUAACAAGGUUUCCGUAGGUGAACCUGCGGAAGGAUCAUUACAGAGUUCAUGCCCGAAAGGGUAGACCUCCCACCCUUGUGUAUUAUUACUUUGUUGCUUUGGCGAGCUGCCUUCGGGCCUUGUAUGCUCGCCAGAGAAAACCAAAACUCUUUUUAUUAAUGUCGUCUGAGUACUAUAUAAUAGUUAAAACUUUCAACAACGGAUCUCUUGGUUCUGGCAUCGAUGAAGAACGCAGCGAAAUGCGAUAAGUAAUGUGAAUUGCAGAAUUCAGUGAAUCAUCGAAUCUUUGAACGCACAUUGCGCCCCUUGGUAUUCCGGGGGGCAUGCCUGUUCGAGCGUCAUUUCAACCCUCAAGCUUAGCUUGGUAUUGAGUCUAUGUCAGUAAUGGCAGGCUCUAAAAUCAGUGGCGGCGCCGCUGGGUCCUGAACGUAGUAAUAUCUCUCGUUACAGGUUCUCGGUGUGCUUCUGCCAAAACCCAAAUUUUUCUAUGGUUGACCUCGGAUCAGGUAGGGAUACCCGCUGAACUUAAGCAUAUC
rnacentral:misc_RNA from 1 species